rnacentral:rRNA from 1 species
AGGGGGGAAUCUUCCACAAUGGGCGAAAGCCUGAUGGAGCAACGCCGCGUGUGUGAUGAAGGGUUUCGGCUCGUAAAACACUGUUGUAAGAGAAGAAUGACAUUGAGAGUAACUGUUCAAUGUGUGACGGUAUCUUACCAGAAAGGAACGGCUAAAUACGUGCCAG